AGUCUUGAUAGAGGCGCGGCCAACAUCAGUAGCUCUGCAUGACCGGCAGGAACCGGAGAGCGAAAGGGGCGGCCGCCGAGGGGACACACGGAUUCCUGUGCGUGCGUUCACCGGGCCGGGGGAUAACAUCCGUCGGACUGUCGCCGAAAGGCGGAGAGCUGUCAUGAUC
rfam:Firmicutes bacterium CAG:129 genomic scaffold, scf128